rnacentral:rRNA from 2 species
UGGGGGAUAUUGCACAAUGGGCGAAAGCCUGAUGCAGCGACGCCGCGUGGGGGAUGAAGGCUUUCGGGUUGUAAACCUCUUUCGCUAUCGAACAAGGCCCGCUUAGGGUGGGUUGAGGGUAGGUGGAGAAGAAGCGCCGGCUAACUACGUGCCAGCAGCCGCGGUAAUACGUAGGGCGCGAGCGUUGUCCGGAAUUAUCGGGCGUAAAGGGCUUGUAGGCGGCUUGUUGCGCCUGCUGUGAAAACGCGGGGCUUAACUUCGCGCGUGCAGUGGGUACGGGCAGGCUUGAGUGUGGUAGGGGUGACUGGAAUUCCAGGUGUAGCGGUGGAAUGCGCAGAUAUCUGGAGGAACACCGAUGGCGAAGGCAGGUCACUGGGCCAUUACUGACGCUGAGGAGCGAAAGCAUGGGUAGCGAACAGG